GACGAACGCUGGCGGCGUGCUUAACACAUGCAAGUCGAACGAAGAGCGAUGGAAGCUUGCUUCUAUCAAUCUUAGUGGCGAACGGGUGAGUAACGCGUAAUCAACCUGCCCUUCAGAGGGGGACAACAGUUGGAAACGACUGCUAAUACCGCAUACGAUCUAAUCUCGGCAUCGAGGAUAGAUGAAAGGUGGCCUCUACAUGUAAGCUAUCACUGAAGGAGGGGAUUGCGUCUGAUUAGCUAGUUGGAGGGGUAACGGGCCACCAAGGCGAUGAUCAGUAGCCGGUCUGAGAGGAUGAACGGCCACAUUGGGACUGAGACACGGCCCAGACUCCUACGGGAGGCAGCAGUGGGGAAUCUUCCGCAAUGGACGAAAGUCUGACGGAGCAACGCCGCGUGAGUGAUGACGGCCUUCGGGUUGUAAAGCUCUGUUAAUCGGGACGAAAGGCCUUCUUGCGAAUAGUGAGAAGGAUUGACGUUACCGGAAUAGAAAGCCACGGCUAACUACGUG
rnacentral:rRNA from 1 species